rnacentral:rRNA from 1 species
UACGUAGGGGCAAGCGUUGGUCCGGAUUCAUUGGGCGUAAAGAGCGUGUAGGCGGCCAGGCAGGUCCGCUGUGAAAACUCGAGGCUCAACCUCGAGAUGUCGGUGGAAACCGUCUGGCUAGAGUCCGGAAGAGGAGAGUGGAAUUCCCGGUGUAGCGGUGAAAUGCGCAGAUAUCGGGAGGAACACCGGUGGCGAAGGCGGUUCUCUGGGCAUUACCUGACGCUGAGGAGCGAAAGUGUGGGGAGCGAACAGG